ACGACGUUGGUCUCGCGUUUAUAUUCACGAUGACUCUCCGACGGGAUUUUAUGAAGGGUGAAUGCGACUGAAAAUAUUCUAUGCAUGCUGCGAACUGCCUCUUCAGCCUGUUACACAACACACAGCUACAUACGUGACCGAUAACUGAGUUUUAGGAUCUGAAACAGAAAAAGACAUACGGUAAAGUCCUAUCGUCCGAGCGCUCGGGAUGGCGUAAAUUGCAGCGUAAGCGUCUCAGUAACGUGGAUCUACUUUCCACAAGACAUGUCUACGGGCGUGAAAGCGUAUAUUAGUCGAUGCGGUAUUCGAUAUAUGUCUCACUUACUGAAUUCUUCCAAAACAAAGAUUCCAUCCUUUUGAGUAAAGCACUUGCGGAUAUGAUCGAGUCUUACAAAAAACUGCAAAUAACACAAUUGUAUUGCGUUAGUGGUCUGCGCAUCGCGCGUACAUCCGAAUCUACUCGAUCAUGCACACUUGUGUGACGAUUCUAUGGCUUGUCUUAUGCGCCGACAACAAUAUCGACCGUGUGUGUGCGAAACAGCUCUUUUUAAGGCGUGAGAAAUGGAUCGUGAUGCUCGUCCGACGAUAAGCGUUUGCUUCCACCCUUCGAGCGCUGAUUACUCGCAUGUUUAAUCAUUAUCCGACUCUCUUUGUAUCAUUCCUUUUUCGCUUCAAGGAUCAAUACAAUUCUUUAGGCAGACUCGUGAGAAUUUUCACACAUUUACGAGAGUUACGUGGAGUCUACGAAUUUUCUCCCAGUUGACAAUUCCUCAAGUGAUUUAACUUUGACACUCCGCAAAAAAUUCUGACGCGCUCGACGGGCUUUGUGUACAGAUUUGUAUUUCUACUAUCAUACUGCAUGUUUCAAUUAAUACGCGUCACCAUACAAAAAUUUGUAUAGGAAAGUAGGCGUUGAAAUCAUUAGAUAGACAUUAGAAAUAUCACUCAGAAAAAUUGCAAGAACAUUACUCUUUAUCUACUGUCCCGCUUGUCAGGUACGGUGACGCGUGUAAUAUAUACGAGAUGCGGAAAGUCGUCAUUAAAUUGACCGUAAUAUCUUCAAUUGUAAUGAUCGUUAUCGCUAAAAUUAUACAUCGCUUACGAGACACGAUAGUUAAAUAUGAUUUGCGUUAAGUGCGAAGCGAUGCUCAUAUAAGCAGAAACAUCCCAGAUAGACAUAUUUUGGCAUAUCAUCUAAAUGACUGAACUGAGAAUCGAAAAUUGUAGCACAAGUACGCAAAGAUAUGUGUAACAAGAAUUGUCAUACAAUAAGAAUUUUGUCAAUAUGCAAAAGAGACGGCAUCUAAUGCCAUGAAAAUCGCUGCUUAUUGCUGCACAAAAACACAAUUAAUCCAAGAUUAUAGCAAUAAUUAGAAGUAAACAUUUCAAUUCCAAACAGACAAGUUACAUCAUUAACAAUGUCAAACAAUUACAAUUGUAAUUUCCAAACAAUAUCAUUAAUGAAAUGAUAUUUCUUAAAACAAUAUACAUUAAUAAAUUUAUACUAAAUGUUUGCAUACUAUGUUCAGCAUGUCUCUGUCUAUCUGGGAUUAUUGCGGAAGAAGAUAAUGUUUCUUCCGUUUCUCCGAUAAACGCACAGACGUUUCAUUCCAAAGAGGCUUAUAUCUUGUGUGCAAUUUUACAUGAAAAAUAUCAUCUAUUCGCACACAAAGCGAACGACUAAAAUGAAAAAUGUGAACAUUAUUUCUCGCGUGCGCAGAAAUGUUUGUCUCUCGUUAACGUUAAUAGAAAAUUAAAAAUUGUUAUCGUCCUCGA